UGGCGGCGUGCCUAAUACAUGCAAGUCGAGCGAAUGGAUUAAGAGCUUGCUCUUAUGAAGUUAGCGGCGGACGGGUGAGUAACACGUGGGUAACCUGCCCAUAAGACUGGGAUAACUCCGGGAAACCGGGGCUAAUACCGGAUAACAUUUUGCACCGCAUGGUGCGAAAUUCAAAGGCGGCUUCGGCUGUCACUUAUGGAUGGACCCGCGUCGCAUUAGCUAGUUGGUGAGGUAACGGCUCACCAAGGCAACGAUGCGUAGCCGACCUGAGAGGGUGAUCGGCCACACUGGGACUGAGACACGGCCCAGACUCCUACGGGAGGCAGCAGUAGGGAAUCUUCCGCAAUGGACGAAAGUCUGACGGAGCAACGCCGCGUGAGUGAUGAAGGCUUUCGGGUCGUAAAACUCUGUUGUUAGGGAAGAACAAGUGCUAGUUGAAUAAGCUGGCACCUUGACGGUACCUAACCAGAAAGCCACG
rnacentral:rRNA from 1 species